ACUUGCCACGCGGACGGAGGCAGGCCGGCUCUGCUCACGUCGAAUGCCCUUGUGAGGGAAGUCGUGCGCCGUUUCGUUCCUUCCAUGGAGUUAGAGGGCGUCUGGACCACCAUGAGGCUCCUGAAUCUUGUUGCUAUUUGGCCAGACGGGACUCGAUUUUACGACACUGAUGUAGCUUACCUACUCGUCCCUUACAUCACUGGAACUUGCUACCGAUUCUCAUCUCUUUCGACGUUCCAGCAGCAUCCUUGCAUCUCAUCUACCUCUAGUGGAUACGUCAUCUGCACCGUCUGAGAGUAAAGGAGAAACACCAGGAAGAUCUAAGGAAGUGUUAGAGUGAAGGAAGAACACGAGGAAGAUCUAGGGAAGUGUUAGAGUGAAGGAAGAAAACCAGGAAGAUCUAGGGAAGUGUUAGAGUAAAGGAAGAACACGAGGAAGAUCUAGGGAAGUGUGAGAGUAAAGGAAGAACACGAGGAAGAUCUAGGGAAGUGUGAGAGUAAAGGAGGAACACGAGGAAGAUCUAGGGAAGUGUUAGAGUGAAGGAGGAACACCAGGAAGAUCUAGGGAAGUGUGAGAGUAAAGGAAGAACACCAGGAAGAUCUAGGGAAGUGUGAGAGUAAAGGAGGAACACGAGGAAGAUCUAGGGAAGUGUGAGAGUAAAGGAGGAACACCAGGAAGAUCUAGGGAAGUGUUAGAGUGAAGGAGGAACACCAGGAAGAUCUAGGGAAGUGUGAGAGUAAAGGAGGAACACCAGGAAGAUCUAGGGAAGUGUUAGAGUGAAGGAAGAACACCAGGAAGAUCUAGGGAAGUGUUAGAGUGAAGGAGGAACACGAGGAAGAUCUAGGGAAGUGUGAGAGUAAAGGAGGAACACCAGGAAGAUCUAGGGAAGUGUUAGAGUGAAGGAGGAACACGAGGAAGAUCUAGGGAAGUGUGAGAGUAAAGGAGGAACACCAGGAAGAUCUAAUGAAGCGUGAGAGUGACGGAGAAAUAAAUGUCAGUGCCAUGAAACCCAGCUUGGCCCUCACUCUGAGUGGUGUGCCUGAGGGACCGAGUAUAUAUAUGUUUUUUUUUUUUUCUAUGGAUAUAUAUAUAUAUCUUUCUCUCUUACCCUCUCACUCUCUCUCUCUCUCUCUCUCACUCUCUCUCUCUCUCUCUCUCUAUGGUAUCUCUGUCGGAUAGGAUUUCGGGAUUCUUGAAUGUAGGACAAAUGCAUGCAUGCAUACACACAUACACAUACGCGCGCGCACAUUCACGAACAUACACAGA